ACGAAACCACUUGCAGCUUAGCUUCGGAUUUACUACUCUUAAAAGCGUUGAAUUAUUGACCUAGAGUACGAAUUUGCAGAUAUGAAGACUAGAACUGAGCCAUAUUUUACUUAUUUCACUCUGUAAAGGUGAAAUGAUCCAUCAAGAUCUUUUGCUGUCGAUUAUUUCUCCUUUUAAUGAGCAACUCCGUUUGGAUCCUUCAAGUACGCGUACGCGUCAGACUGUGAGUGAGACCAGAGCGGCGAGCCAGGACCACGUGUUGAAAGCCAUCGGCUUUGCGUGUUGUUCCUUCACGGGCAGGGAGAGAACGGGAGAAACAGAUAAGCUUUUCCUUACGAACUGAACUGAGAUUCAUCCCAAAGAAAAGAAAAGAAGCUGCAUAGUAGUAUUGAGCUUCAGAUUUAAAAUCAGAGACAGUGAACCUGAAGAGCUCUUAAGUUGUUUUUGUUUUUUGGGCCCAUUUUUAUUUCUUUUUUUUGUCCUUUGUGUAACUAUUUCUUUCCUUGUUUUGUAUAUGGCUAUUGAGCUAACAAUAUAUUCAUUGUUGUUAUUUUCUUCCAAGCCGCAUCUUCCCGCAUCUCAUUCUUUCCAUCCUCCUUGUUUCGAACCUAGCAAACAUGACCAAAGUGGAUUUCUCCAUACCAGUGAGAGGGUUAGACAAUGAAGGAAAUUAAGGCUUUUUAUUAUUUACCUGUUCCUGAACAAAAACCACGGGCUGAAGGAAAGAAGACUUUUGCAUUCUCCUGGAUUCAGACAAGCUCUAUUAGCAGGAAACCAGGGUUUACUUUGAAGAUGGCAUAGCGAGGCUCGAAAGCAGAGACGGCAGGAAGGCUGGAUGACGAAGCCUGAGGCCUGAGGACGGGGCCAGGGCUGGAAGGUUUGUGCUGGCCAGGACUGCACCCGCCCAGGGACUUGGCUCGAGCUGGUGGGUCGCUGGGACAUUCGACCUUUGAAAGGGAAGCUAUGUAGCAUCCUGGUACUGACUUGCGUUACUGUAGAGGCUCCUGGGAGACUCCCUUUAAAAGGGACGUUUAAUGUUGUUUAUGUUCUUGUCUGUCAGUUUAAAAGUAAAUGUAUGUUUUAGUUGUGUUAUUCUGUGUUGGUGGUGUGGGCGUUUUGUGUUGGUCACCACAGGGUGGAAGGCUGUGCCUAAUGGUGACCUUUCUGUGGCCGAUUCAGUCAAAGAGCACUAAUCCCAGAUGAAUCAUCUCUUACUCUGUGCUGACUCUACAAUACUUUUCCUUCAACUUUUGACGUAAAUGCCGUCCUCCCUGAUUAAAUACUUUAUACCACAGUAAGAUUUAGAGAUGAUCUGAAGCCACGAAACAAGUGGAUACUGCCCAACCCUCCCAGCUUAGGCAAAAGAGUCUUAAUCAGACAUGUAGCUUCUUUGAAGAGCUAGCUUUACUUUGAUUCUGGCCAGUGUGUUCGGCAACCUUGACAUUUUUAUGUUUUUGCAUAAUUUUUUAUUUCUGAGUAUGUUCUGUAAUGAUGAAUGGAAGUUUCUUUGAGCACUGGAAUGAUUUAGCAUUUAGCUAAGAGACAGUGUUUAACUUACUGUUGGUUAAAACUGUCCCCUGUCUCAAACUAGAGGAUAUAGAGGUGGAAUUCCCACUGAGAAUGCCAGAGAAGUUGGACUGCCGUUCAGUCCAUUGUGUCUUUUGCUGUUAUAGUUGAAACAGCUCUCAUGCAGCCUGUGCCAUCGGUCAAACCUUGAGAGCAAACAGAAAGGCAGAGAGAGAGAGAGAGAGAGAGCGAGAGAGAGCGAGAGAGAGAGAGAGAGAGAGAGAGAGAUCUUCAUAAUCUUUACACUUUCUCACAGUAGCUAUAGUGAAUUCGGUUCCUUUGGGAUGUAAUCUAAGCUAAUUGUGCUAAAUGAUCUCAUCUGUGGUGUUUAUUUCCCUAUAUGACAUGUCAUAAUCAAAAUCACUGUUGUUAAGCUACUGUAGCAAAACCACAUGACCCAAAUUACAAGAUGUUAAUGCUUAGUCACAAUAAAAUGAGGCAUAGCAGUCAUCAGACAGUAAGCUGAGCAAGCAA